rnacentral:rRNA from 1 species
AACGAACGCUGGCGGCAUGCCUAAUACAUGCAAGUCGAACGAGACCUUCGGGUCUAGUGGCGCAAGGGUGCGUAACGCGUGGGAACCUGUCUUUAGGUUCGGAAUACAUUCCCGAAAGGGGUGCUAAUACCGGAUAAUGUCUUCGGACCAAAGAUUUAUCGCCAUUGGUUGGGCCCGCGUUGGAUUAGCUGGUUGGUAGGGUAAAUGCCUACUAAGGCGACAAUCGAUAGCUGGUCUGAGAGGAUGAUCAGCCACACUGAGACUGGGACACGUCCCAGACUCCUACGGGAGGCAGCGGUGGGGAAUAUUGGACAAUGGGCGAAAGCCUGAUCCAGCAAGGCCGCUUGAGUGAUGAAGGCCUUAGGGUUGUAAAGCUCUUUUACCCGGGAUGAUAAUGACAGUACCGGGAGAAUAAGCUCCGGCUAACUCCGUG